rnacentral:rRNA from 1 species
UAAGCCUGUGAAGGUGUGUCGUGAGGCAUGCUGGAGGUAUCAGAAGUGCGAAUGCUGACAUAAGUAACGAUAAAGCGGGUGAAAAGCCCGCUCGCCGGAAGACCAAGGGUUCCUGUCCAACGUUAAUCGGGGCAGGGUGAGUCGACCCCUAAGGCGAGGCCGAAAGGCGUAGUCGAUGGGAAACGGGUUAAUAUUCCCGUACUUGGUGUUACUGCGAAGGGGGGACGGAGAAGGCUAUGUUGGCCGGGCGACGGUUGUCCCGGUUUAAGCGUGUAGGUGUGUGUUCCAGGUAAAUCCGGUUCACUUUAACACUGAGGCGUGACGACGAGGCACUACGGUGCUGAAGCAACAAAUGCCCUGCUUCCAGGAAAAGCCUCUAAGCAUCAGGUAACAUCAAAUCGUACCCCAAACCGACACAGGUGGUCAGGUAGAGAAUACCAAGGCGCUUGAGAGAACUCGGGUGAAGGAACUAGGCAAAAUGGUGCCGUAAC